rnacentral:rRNA from 1 species
GAUAAACGCUGGCGGCGUGCAUGAGACAUGCAAGUCGAACGAACGAGCUUGCUCGUUAGUGGCGGACGGCUGAGUAACGCGUAGGUGACCUACCCCGAAGUGGGGGAUAACUGCCCGAAAGGGUGGCUAAUACCGCAUGUGGCGACGCUUUCAUUGGCGUCAUCAAAGCCGCGAGGCGCUUCGGGAGGGGCCUGCGUCCGAUUAGCUCGUUGGUGGGGUAAUGGCUCACCAAGGCGACGAUCGGUAGGUGGUCUGAGAGGACGAUCACCCAGACUGGGACUGAGACACGGCCCAGACUCCUACGGGAGGCAGCAGUCGGGAAUUUUGCGCAAUGGACGAAAGUCUGACGCAGCAACGCCGCGUGCGGGAUGAAGGCCUUCGGGUUGUAAACCGCUUUUGUCAGGGACGAUAAUGACGGUACCUGAUGAAUAAGUCACGGCUAACUACGUGCCAGCCGCCGCCGUAACAC